UCUGUGCUAAAAAGAUGGCCACGAACGCUGCCGCCGCCAGUGGCGGUUGUGUUCGAGGAGAAAUAAAUUAUUGUUUAUCGACGAAAUUAAAAAAUUUUGUUCACAAAUUUGUUCAAAAAAAUCAUGAAUCAAAGAAUUGAACGUAAUCCACAUCAACUGCAAGUUGUAAUCUUAAUUGUGCCAGCUGAAGAUAAUCUUCUUCUACAAGUGCUUCAAACAAUUUUGUUCGGAGACACUGUGGAAUCAUUUCAUUUCAAUCAAGGGAAUGAAGCACAUGAUGAACCAAUGGAUAUUGAUGUUCAAACUUGAACAUACACUAAACUAUAUCAACAAUACACAGUGAAAUAUUUACUCAUGUAUGAUAAUUAAUGUACUAGUGUGAUAACAUUAAUUACUUUUAGUUAGACAUGUAAAGUGAUACUGUUUGAUUUCCUGGAAAUUAAUUGGCUGCCUUUUAUGAUACCUGAUAGAAGUAAUAUUUUUUUGCAACGUAUAAAAGCACUGCAAACUGUUGAAAAUUUUUAA